rnacentral:misc_RNA from 1 species
UGGUUCUGGCAUCGAUGAAGAACGCAGCGAAAUGCGAUAAGUAAUGUGAAUUGCAGAAUUCAGUGAAUCAUCGAAUCUUUGAACGCACAUUGCGCCCCCUGGUAUUCCGAGGGGCAUGCCUGUUCGAGCGUCAUUACACCCUCAAGCCUAGCUUGGUAUUGGGUACCGUUACUUACCUAGCGGACCCUAAAAUCAGUGGCGGUACCGUCGAGGACCUGAGCGUAGUAAAUCUCCUCGCUAUAGGAACUCGGCGGUAGUGGCCACCAACCACCACAUUCUAAGUUUGACCUCGGAUCAGGUAGGGAUACCCGCUGA